ACACUUUUCGGGACUGUUUGUUUGUAUAUAGUUACGAUUGCAUUAUGAUUAUAAUUAUAUACAGACUCAAGUACAAAUUUGAUUUGAUGUAUUUAACUGUAACAGUUGAAAUUGCACAUGAAGGCUCAACUGUGUCUCAGUUGGAAACUGAAACUACGUCCAAAUUGGCCGAAGUUUCUACUGUAAUUGUUACCGUGAAUAAUUUGUGAAAGAAGAUAAGUUUAUAAUAUCUUAUAUUGAAGGUAAUCUCAUCAUGCUAUAUAUUAAGGCUAAAAUACUGAAAACUUUUAUAUAAAUACCUGUUUUUUUACCUUUCCUUCAUGACUUUGAAAAAUCUAUAUUUUACCUCUUUAAAAUUUUAAGUUAAUGCGUUCAGCUCUCCUCAGUCAAGGUUCCGUUAUUAUUCCAUUCAUUUCUAUAAUUUAUACUGAAAAUAUCCUUAAAAAUAAUACAAAUACAUUAAAAAUUAUUUUUCUUAUAAAAUAAGUAAAUACAAUUUUGUCAUUUCGCACUUUUCAUUAACGCUGUAACCCUUUGAAAAAAAUUUUAAAAUUUUGAGAGAACAAAAUGUAAGCUUUGAAAGUCAUAAUAAAAAAUGAAAAAA
rnacentral:lncRNA from 1 species